rnacentral:rRNA from 1 species
UUUCCCAUAGGAUAGCUGGUGCCAGCAGGAGAAUGACAUGUAGUUUCAUUCAGUAAAACAGACAACUACAGGCCUUGGGGACAUUGACUGCCUCAAUCUAUUCUCAUACUCAAAACAGGUGAAAGGGACUGCUCCUUUCUCAAUUGAAGGUGGCUGUUUUGCUGUGUAGGUGAUGAAUGCAUGGUGCCAAGUGGACCACUUUUGGUAAACAGAACUAAAAGAUUUU